AUUGAACGCUGGCGGCAGGCUUAACACAUGCAAGUCGAGCGGUAACAGGAGAAGCUUGCUUCUCGCUGACGAGCGGCGGACGGGUGAGUAAUACUUAGGAAUCUGCCCAGUAGUGGGGGAUAGCUCGGGGAAACUCGAAUUAAUACCGCAUACACCCUACGGGGAAAAGGGGGCGCUUGCGCUCUCGCUAUUGGAUGAGCCUAAGUCGGAUUAGCUAGUUGGUGGGGUAAAGGCCUACCAAGGCGACGAUCUGUAGCUGGUCUGAGAGGAUGAUCAGCCACACCGGGACUGAGACACGGCCCGG
rnacentral:rRNA from 1 species